rnacentral:tRNA from 1 species
UCCCUGGUGGCUCAAACGGUAAAGCGUCUGUCUACAACACGGAAGACCUGGGUUUGAUCCCUGGGUUGGGAA